CCAAAAAGACAGACAUUAACAGUGAGGAUGAUGUCUCAAGGGACAUGUACAUAAAGAUUUGCAUGAGCAAAUAUGUUGUAUUCAAACCAUUGCAAGUUUAGAAUAAGUUGUAAUCUAAUUUUUUUAUUAAUAUUGCAUAACGAGAGCUUUUCUUGUUUGCCACGCAAAACGGCGACGGCGUGGACUCGAGUGAGGUUUCAGGUCAGCACACGCAGGUUUUUUGUGUCAAACUUCCACCUGGUUUUCUUGGUAGCCGCCGCCUCCGCCAAGUGUUUGACGAAAGACAAAUCCUUGGAGCGUAUAUAAGAUCGAUCGUCAUUAAUAGCAGCCACCAAAUUGAAAUUGACCAACGAGAGAGCUCGAGCUCAGUUCAAACUUGAAUUACAUUGGCCAACACUUAUUCGUUACGUCUUCCCCAAGACAAACUGAG
rnacentral:lncRNA from 1 species